rnacentral:rRNA from 1 species
UGCUUGCACCAGAUGAAACUAGAUACAAGCGAGCGGCGGACGGGUGAGUAACACGUGGGUAACCUGCCCAAGAGACGGGGAUAACACCUGGAAACAGAUGCUAAUACCGGAUAACAACACUAGACGCAUGUCUAGAGUUUAAAAGAUGGUUCUGCUAUCACUCUUGGAUGGACCUGCGGUGCAUUAGCUAGUUGGUAAGGUAACGGCUUACCAAGGCAAUGAUGCAUAGCCGAGUUGAGAGACUGAUCGGCCACAUUGGGACUGAGACACGGCCCAAACUCCUACGGGAGGCAGCAGUAGGGAAUCUUCCACAAUGGACGCAAGUCUGAUGGAGCAACGCCGCGUGAGUGAAGAAGGGUUUCGGCUCGUAAAGCUCUGUUGGUAGUGAAGAAAGAUAGAGGUAGUAACUGGCCUUUAUUUGACGGUAAUUACUUAGAAAGUCACGGCUAACUACGUGCCAGCAGCCGCGGUAAUACGUAGGUGGCAAGCGUUGUCCGGAUUUAUUGGGCGUAAAGCGAGUGCAGGCGGUUCAAUAAGUCUGAUGUGAAAGCCUUCGGCUCAACCGGAGAAUUGCAUCAGAAACUGUUGAACUUGAGUGCAGAAGAGGAGAGUGGAACUCCAUGUGUAGCGGUGGAAUGCGUAGAUAUAUGGAAGAACACCAGUGGCGAAGGCGGCUCUCUGGUCUGCAACUGACGCUGAGGC